rnacentral:rRNA from 1 species
UAAUACCGCAUACGCUCUACGGAGGAAAGGGGGGGAUCGCAAGACCUCUCGCUCAAGGGGCGGCCGAUGGCAGAUUAGCUAGUUGGUGGGGUAAAGGCCUACCAAGGCGACGAUCUGUAGCUGGUCUGAGAGGACGACCAGCCACACUGGGACUGAGACACGGCCCAGACUCCUACGGGAGGCAGCAGUGGGGAAUUUUGGACAAUGGGCGCAAGCCUGAUCCAGCAAUGCCGCGUGUGUGAAGAAGGCCUUCGGGUUGUAAAGCACUUUUGUCCGGAAAGAAAACUUCCUGGUUAAUACCUGGGGAGGAUGACGGUACCGGAAGAAUAAGCACCGGCUAACUACGUGCCAGCAGCCGCGGUAAUACGUAGGGUGCGAGCGUUAAUCGGAAUUACUGGGCGUAAAGCGUGCGCAGGCGGUCUGUUAAGACAGAUGUGAAAUCCCCGGGCUUAACCUGGGAACUGCAUUUGUGACUG